CGUAAUCCCCUGAUUACCGAACUAUCUACCAACACUAUUCCUGGUGACCCCAGAAGGCGUCUAAAACGUACCUGGUGUCGUGACCUACUAAUAUAAAAUUGUUUAUACCUCUAUCUCCCUAAUUUUGUAAUCACACCCUCUCCUACUAGCAAACUAAAAUUUCUAGCCUAAAAUCCUAACCUUAAGUACCUCCAAUGGGCGGUUUCUUAUCUCCAGCCUCUCAAAAGCCAUAUCACCUCCAUCACAUGCAC